rnacentral:rRNA from 1 species
GCAGAACGCGAAGAACCUUACCCACCUUUGACAUGUACGGAAUCCUUUAGAGAUAGAGGAGUGCUCGAAAGAGAGCCGUAACACAGGUGCUGCAUGGCUGUCGUCAGCUCGUGUCGUGAGAUGUUGGGUUAAGUCCCGCAACGAGCGCAACCCUUGUCAUUAGUUGCUACGAAAGGGCACUCUAAUGAGACGUGCCGGUGACAAACCGGAGGAAGGUGGGGAUGACGUCAAGUCCUCAUGGCCCUUAUAGGUGGGGCUACACACGUCAUACAAUGGCUGGGUACAAAGGGGUUGCCCAACCCGCGAGGGGGGAGCUAAUCCCAUAAAGCCAGUCGUAGUCCGGAUCGCAGUCUGCAACUCGACUGCGUGAAGUCGGAAUCGCUAGUAAUCGUGGAUCAGAAUGUCACGGUGAAUACGUUCCCGGGUCUUGUACACACCG